GCUGGCGGUAGGCUACACAUGCNAGUCGAACGGCAGCACAGUAAGAGACUUGCUCUUAUGGGUGGCGAGUGGCGGACGGGUGAGGAAUACAUCGGAAUCUACUUUUUCGUGGGGGAUAACGUAGGGAAACUUACGCUAAUACCGCAUACGACCUUCGGGUGAAAGCAGGGGACCUUCGGGCCUUGCGCGAUUGAAUGAGCCGAUGUCGGAUUAGCUAGUUGGCGGGGUAAAGGCCCACCAAGGCGACGAUCCGUAGCUGGUCUGAGAGGAUGAUCAGCCACACUGGAACUGAGACACGGUCCAGACACCUACGGGAGGCAGCAGUGGGGAAUAUUGGACAAUGGGCGCAAGCCUGAUCCAGCCAUACCGCGUGGGUGAAGAAGGCCUUCGGGUUGUAAAGCCCUUUUGUUGGGAAAGAAAAGCAGCAGGCUAAUACCCCGCUGUUCUGACGGUACCCAAAGAAUAAGCACCGGCUAACUUCGUGCCAGCAGCCGCGGUAAU
rnacentral:rRNA from 1 species